CUCAUUUGCUUUUUUCAUAUUGGACUUCUUCUUCAAAAGGAAAUCCACUUUCUCGAAGACCAUGAAAAUACAUAUAUCUGCCCUAAAGCAGAAAAAUGUAGUAUUAACUUCUGAUGUGGAUAUGCCCUAAAUCUGUCAUAAAUUUAACACAAUUAAGUUAUAUGGAUAAAUUAAAUGCAUAUGUAGUAAGUCCUUGAUUUUAAAAAAGUUUCCUUCAGUGUAAUUAUAAAUCACGCAAUUCUCCACCAACCAGAGAAUUAUUAACUACCCUACAUUUGUAUAAUGUUUUGAUUUUUUUUUUCAUUUUUAGGACCACACCUGUGGCAUAUGCGAGUUUCCAGGCUAGGGGCUGAAUUGGAGCUGCAGCUGCUGGUUUAUGCCACAGCAACAGCAACCCUGGAUCAGAGUGGCAUCUGCAACCUCCACCUGCGCUGGAUCCUUAACCAACUGAGCAAGGCCAGGGGUCAAACCCAUGUCUUCAUAGAUACUAGUCGGGUUCUUUACUGCUGAGCCACGAUGGGAACUCCUCAGUUUUGAAAUAUUUCAUGCAUUCCAAUAUACCUUUUCAAAAAAACUGUGAGUUAAGUUGGGCAGGUAUUAAUACCCCCAAGGAGUUAAAGAAAGUUCAUUGGACUUAAGCGUUUUAAGAGUAAAGCUGCAGUCCAGGUGUUCACUGACCUUAUGAACCCAACCAAGGGUGUAUGGAGCCUGAAGCAAAAGCAUGAUGGCUCCUGGUUUUCACCCCUACCUAUGCUCAACACUGUUAGACCAAUUCGGCUAAGGUAAUUUCAAAGAAAACUGAGGAAGAAAUGAAGCUGCAAAGUACAGUGUAGCCUCAAAUUCUCUUCCUGCUCUUCAUGAUUUAUUAAAUGGUUACUUCCUUCAAAACCACUUGACCUACUCCAACACCAUCCAUUAAGACUUACCUAGACUUUUCCACCAAGUGACUGAUUCUUAAACUCAAGCAACACAAUUAUCAUUUGGCAGAGCGUUUUGUUCCCUUUGCUCAUUUUUAAUUUUAGUCUUACGAUUUACUCCUAGUCUUUUAGUGAUCUCAAUCAACACGUUUCAGGAUCUUCGUUUUCUCCCAGUUUCCCUCAUUUCCUUUUCUAUCAGACCUAGAAUGCAGGAUGAUUCUAUUAACUGACUCUUACCAGUUCCUUCUUCUCCCAGGACUAUUUGUUCUUCCAAAAGAACUUAUAAAAAUCAUAUAUAGGGAAUUCCCAUGGUGGCACAGCGGAAACGAAUCUGACUGGUAUUGAUGAGGAUACAGGUUCAAUCCCUGGCCUCGCUUAGGGGGUCAGAGAUUCCGCAUUGCCGUGAGCUGUGGUGUAAGUUGAAGACAUGGCUGAGAUCCCAUGUUGCUGUAGCUGUGGGGCAGGCUGGUAGCUGUAGCUUCGAUUGGACCCCUAGCCUGGAACUUCUAUAUGCCAUGGGUAUGGCCCUAAAAAGCAAAAAGCAAAAAAAAAAUCAUAUAUCAAUAUUUCAGGUUUCUAGAACAAACAUCCAGAACUAAUACUACUGCCAACAAUUUUCACAUUCAAUUUCUGGCACUCAGUGAGAAAUAAGCAGACAUCCAAAGAAAUAAUAAAUAACCAAAAACAAAGGGGGGAAAACUUAUACUAGAAAAAGACCCACAAGAGACCCACAUAAAAGAAUAACCAGAAACGGAUUUUAAAACAACUAAAUUAAAUGACAAUUUGAGAACUUUAACAGAAAACUGAAAACUUUAAUAGAGAAUCAUAUGAUCAUCCGAUUAAAGUGUAGUUUAAUUAAAUUAAGAAACUCAAGAGUGUGCUGGAGAGCAGAUUGGACACACACACAAAAAAAUAGUGAAGCGGAAAAAAAGCCAGAAGAAAACACCACUGUUAAGCAUAAAAUGACAGAAGACUAGGAAAUUAAAAACAGGAAAAAAUACAAAUGACAUAAUAUAGCAUAGAGUAUAAGAUCUAAAUAUAUAUAAUAGGAAUCUUAGAAAAAGAGGAAAUGAGAAUGGGGCAGAAGAGAAAAUGGUACAUGAUUGAGAACUUUUUUGUUGUUGUUGUUGUUGUUGCUAUUUCUUGGGCCGCUCCCGCGGCACAUGGAGGUUCCCAGGCUAGGGGUCGAAUCGGAGCUGUAGCCACCGGCCUACACCAGAGCCACAGCAACGCAGGAUCCGAGCCGCGUCUGCAACCUACACCACAGCUCAUGGCAACGCCGGAUCGCCAACCCACUGAGCAAGGGCAGGGAUCGAACCCGCAACCUCAUGUAGGUUAAGGAUCUGGCAUUGCCGUGAGCUGUGGUGUAGGUCAAAGACACAGCUCGGAUCCUGCGUUGCUAUGACUGUGGUGUAGACCAGCAGUUGUAGGUCCGAUUCGACCCCUAGCCAGGGGAACCUCCACAAGCCAUGAGUGCAGCCCUAAAAAGAAAAAGAAAAAAAAAAAAAAA
rnacentral:lncRNA from 1 species